rnacentral:rRNA from 1 species
UACGUAGGGGGCAAGCGUUGUCCGGAAUCAUUGGGCGUAAAGCGCGUGUAGGCGGCCAGAAAAGUCCGCUGUGAAAACUCGAGGCUCAACUUCGAGCUGUCGGUGGAAACUUUCUGGCUAGAGUCCGGAAGAGGAGAAUGGAAUUCCUGGUGUAGCGGUGAAAUGCGCAGAUAUCAGGAGAACACCCGGUGGCGAAGGCGGGUCUC